rnacentral:rRNA from 1 species
CUUCAUGAAGCUGGAAUUGCUAGUAAUGGCAGGUCAGCAUACUGCCGUGAAUACGUUCCCGGGCCCUUGUACACACCGCCCGUCACACCAUGAGAGUUGGAAAUACCCGAAGCCUGUGAGCUAACUGUAAAGAGGCAGCAGUCGAAGGUAGAGCCAAUGAUUGGGGUGAAGUCGUAACAAGGUACC